UAGGGAAUCUUCCACAAUGGACGCAAGUCUGAUGGAGCAACGCCGCGUGAGUGAAGAAGGUUUUCGGAUCGUAAAGCUCUGUUGUUGGUGAAGAAGGAUAGAGGUAGUAACUGGCCUUUAUUUGACGGUAAUCAACCAGAAAGUCACGGCUAACUACGUGCCAGCAGCCGCGGUAAUACGUAGGUGGCAAGCGUUGUCCGGAUUUAUUGGGCGUAAAGCGAGCGCAGGCGGAAGAAUAAGUCUGAUGUGAAAGCCCUCGGCUUAACCGAGGAAUUGCAUCGGAAACUGUUUUCUUGAGUGCAGAAGAGGAGAGUAGAACUCCAUGUGUAGCGGUGGAAUGCGUAGAUAUAUGGAAGAAUACCAGUGGCGAAGGCGGCUCUCUGGUCUGCAACUGACGCUGAGGCUCGAAAGUAUGGGUAGCGAACAGGAUUAGAUACCCUGGUAGUCCAUGCCGUAAACGAUGAGUGCUAAGU
rnacentral:rRNA from 1 species